UACGUAGGUGGCAAGCGUUGUCCGGAAUUAUUGGGCGUAAAGCGCGCGCAGGCGGCCUCUUUAAGUCUGAUGUGAAAGCCCCCCGGCUCAACCGGGGGGAGGCCUUGGAAACUGGGAGGCUUGAGUAUAGGAGAGAAGAGUGGAAUUCCACGUGUAGCGGUGAAAUGCGUAGAGAUGUGGAGGAACACCAGUGGCGAAGGCAGCCUUCUGGGCCAACACUGACGCUCAUGCACGAAAGCGUGGGGAGCAAACAGG
rnacentral:rRNA from 1 species